GUUUAAGGCCAUAUCACUCUGAACGCACCCAAUCUUAUCUGGUCUUGAAAGCUAAGCGGGGUCAGGCCUGGUUAUCACUUGGAUGGAAGACAGAUCUUCAGAAGAGACUGCUCAGAGACACUUUGGAGA
rnacentral:rRNA from 1 species